rnacentral:tRNA from 1 species
CAGAAGGUAGUUUAAUAAAAAUACUAGUUUUGGAGAUUAGAGAUGUCUUAACCUUUCUGA